CAUAAAAUCAAAAAUCGUAAACCACUGCUGUCUCUCACUCGAUCUCCUCUCUCACUCGAUCUUGUCGACUGAAGAACUCACUCUCACCUCACUGCUAAACUCUCCUCCCACUGUUGUCUGCUCUCUGCUCUCUCUCUGGGCUGUCUACUCUCUCUCUGUCAAAGUUCCAGUCGGGACUUAAAGGUUAAAAGUUAAAGGGUCGUCGGAGCUGAAGUCGGAGUUCAAGUCAGAGUUUAGAGCUAAUUCGGAGGUUAAAGUUUGAAUUGGCAUCGCUCCACCAGAACAAAAAAUUGGCUACAUCAUAUGAAGAUUGUAACAGAGUUUUUGGCCAUGAAUAACUCCAACACAAGAGAUGAAAUGAAAAAUGUUGCUAUGUAAACAAAACAAGUGUAUACUAGUCAUUGAGACAGACUGAGAGGGGAGGUUAAGAUGUAUGCAAUUCUUACAUCCUUGGAGUGGAGACUCGAGAGGCUGGAACCUGAAGAUCAUCUCGCAGGUGAAGCUCCAGCAGAAGCCGUGUUGAUUGCGUUUGGCAAACCUCUUCAAAUGUUGAAUUAAAAGUCUUGAACCUAUCUUUCAGAGAGUUCUUGAAAUCCCAUUAUAAAAUGAGAACUUGUUACUCAAGGUUCUGUGAUUUUGGAUUGGCAAAGGAUGGACCGGAGGAUGGUAAAAGCCACGUGUCUACCAGAGUUAUGGGAACCUAUGGUUAUGCAACUCCGGAGUAUAUGGUGAUAGAAUUAGAGACAGAGAUGACUAGAAGAUUAUGAGAGAAUUUGCUAAGUUAAGAUGCGGUUCGGAAAAGGAACUACAGAUACGUUUCCUAUUUUUAGUCUUGUCUUGAAGUUUGAACUCUAUAAAUUUUAUUGCUGAGUAAUUGUGUUCCUUUCUUUUACUUGCAUCUUAUUUUAGGGACUAGCUCCUGCAUUUACUGAGUGCAAAUGUUUGCAUUAUAUGUGUUAUUAUGAGACUUUUUAUUUGAGUUGUUAUUCUGAAAAAUAAACCUGUUUGCCACAUUAACAGUUAUUACUUCCUGCAAUUGUUCUCCUUUCUCUUUGCAGGCCAAAGUCUUGUACUAGUACUAGUCGGGAAGGGAAGAGGGGGGGGGGGGACACUGUAGAGCUCGCUAAAAAAAGGUUUACGCAAGGGCUACAAGCAGGAAAAAGGUGUGAUCUGUUGUUCAGACUGUCCAGAAAAUAUUGGACCUAACGGAAGAUAUUCAAGUCCCGUCAAUUUACAUCCAAACCAAGUUCUUAUGCCACUAGUAUAUCAACCUGGGGAUUGUGUUAUUGUAGCUAAGAACUUUUUUUCAUAUAUUGUAGCUAAUAAAGUUAGAAAAGAUCAUGAAUGAAUGUCAAGUAGUAGUAGUUGAUGUUUGAUGGUUUAGUAUUACUAUGUUGGGAUAUAUUAGUGUGGAUGAUAUUUGGAGAUUGGUGGAUGUUAAUUUGGAUGCUGGUGGAUGUUUGGAUGUGUACUAGAAGUUGGUUAGGAGAAUAUGACAAUUGGUAUAUAUUUGGAGAUUGUUUGGAUUUUAAA